rnacentral:rRNA from 1 species
AAAGAUUAAGCCAUGCAUGUCUAAGUAUAAGCACUUUAUACUGUGAAACUGCGAAUGGCUCAUUAAAUCAGUUAUAGUUUAUUUGAUAAUACCUUACUACUUGGAUAACCGUGGUAAUUCUAGUGCUAAUACAUGCUUUAAGCCCCGACUUCUGGAAGGGGUGUAUUUAUUAGAUAAAAAACCAAUCGUAGCAAUACGUUUUCUGGUGAAUCAUGAUAACUAUUCGAAUCGCAUGUCUUUGACGGCGAUGGUUCAUUCAAAUUUCUGCCCUAUCAACUUUCGAUGGUAGUAUAGAGGACUACCAUGGUUAUAACGGGUAACGGAGAAUUAGGGUUCGAUUCCGGAGAGGGAGCCUGAGAAACGGCUACCACAUCCAAGGAAGGCAGCAGGCGCGCAAAUUACCCAAUCCCGAUUCGGGGAGGUAGUGACAAUAAAUAACAAUACAGAGCUUUUCAAGUUUUGUAAUUGUAAUGAGAACAAUUUAAACCUCUUAACGAGAACCAAUUGGAGGGCAAGUCUGGUGCCAGCAGCCGCGGUAAUUCCAGCUCCAAUAGCGUAUAUUAAAGUUGUUGCAGUUAAAAAGCUCGUAGUUGAACUUUGGGCUUGGCUGGGCGGGUCUGCUCUUUGAGCAGUACUCCUCUGGCUGAGCCUUUCCUUCUGGAGAACUAUGGUGCCAUUCAUUUAGUGCUGUAGGGAACCAGGACUUUUACUUUGAAAAAAUUAGAGUGUUUAAAGCAGGCUUACGCUUGAAUACAUUAGCAUGGAAUAAUAAAAUAGGACUUUGGUUUUAUUUUGUUGGUUUUCGAAACCGAAGUAAUGAUUAAUAGGGAUAGUUGGGGGGCAUUUGUAUUGAGCCGUCAGAGGUGAAAUUCUUGGAUUGGCUCAAGACAAACUUCUGCGAAAGCAUUUGCCAAGGAUGUUUUCAUUAAUCAAGAACGAAAGUUAGGGGAUCGAAGACGAUCAGAUACCGUCGUAGUCUUAACCAUAAACUAUGCCGACUAGGGAUCGGACAAUGCUCAAUUAUGACUUGUUCGGCACCUUAUGAGAAAUCAAAGUUUUUAGGUUCCGGGGGGAGUAUGGUCGCAAGGCUGAAACUUAAAGGAAUUGACGGAAGGGCACCACCAGGAGUGGAGCCUGCGGCUUAAUUUGACUCAACACGGGGAAACUCACCAGGUCCAGACAUAGUAAGGAUUGACAGAUUGAGAGCUCUUUCUUGAUUCUAUGGGUGGUGGUGCAUGGCCGUUCUUAGUUGGUGGAGUGAUUUGUCUGGUUAAUUCCGUUAACGAACGAGACCUUAACCUGCUAAAUAGUUGCAUUAACUCUGGUUGAUGAUCAACUUCUUAGAGGGACUAUAGACGUUUAGUCUAUGGAAGUUUGAGGCAAUAACAGGUCUGUGAUGCCCUUAGAUGUUCUGGGCCGCACGCGCGCUACACUGAUAACAGCAGCAAGUAAUUCACCUUGGCCGGAAGGUCUGGGUAAUCUUCUGAAAUGUUAUCGUGCUGGGGAUAGUCCUUUGCAAUUCUUGGACUUCAACGAGGAAUUCCUAGUAAGCGUGAGUCAUCAGCUCGCGUUGAUUACGUCCCUGCCCUUUGUACACACCGCCCGUCGCUAGUACCGAUUGAAUGGCUUAGUGAGACCUCCGGAUUGGCGGUUCAUUGGGGGCGACCCCAUAGAGCUGCCGAGAAGUUGGUCAAACUUGGUCAUUUAGAGGAACUAAAAGUCGUAACAAGGUAACCGUAGGUGAACCUGCGGUUGGAUCAUUACUGAUAACUGUCUUGUCUGGUUGAACACGAAAGUGAUCCUAGGCAAGGCAAUCAACCCCUUGUGCACCAUAAUGUUUUUUGGGUCUUUUCUUUCGUUUCUCUCUUAGCUAAGCUAAGCUAAGCUUGGUGUUAAUUCAUUAGGGUUAGCAUUACCUUUAGCAUAGCAAAGCAUAGGGUUGGACGACUAGAGGGGCCCAGCUUAUAGCCAAACCAUUUCCAAUUUGUCUGAAUCUCUAUGAAAAUAGAAACAACUUUUGACAACGGAUCUCUUGGCUCUCGCAACGAUGAAGAACGCAGCGAAAUGCGAUACGUAAUGUGAAUUGCUUUCCGUGAAUCAUCGAAUCUUUGAACGCAUAUUGCACUCCUUUGGAGUAUGCCUGUUUGAGAAUCUAUUGUAUUCCUUUGCCCAGGUCUUUUCUAUCUAACUUAGGUUAGGUAGGUUAGGUCUAGGCGAGAUUUGAAGUGUCCCUACCUAACGAAUUUCGUAAGGAAGGGUACUUUGAAAUAGAUUGCCUUUACAAGUGUAGGAUGUUUGACGCACCCUAUCUUUGCAGAAAAGUAUGUGAAUGGAACCUGCUUCUUAGGAAAAAGGCGACUGCAUAAUGCUGAAUACGCAAAGUGAGUGAAUAGUCCGUCAUAAGUAAAGGUUCAUAACCAUAAAGUUUAUUGAAGACCACCGAGAGCCUAACAACUCUUAGCGGUACUAUCUAAACUUGAACCAUGGUCUCAAAUCAGGUAGGAAGACCCGCUGAACUUAA